CUAGGGCGGCUGCUUCUAGACGCGUAAAUUGGGUGAUCUUUGAUUUUGAAAAGAUUGCAGCCGACGAUUAAUGAUAGUAAAAAAGAAUUCAAUUGGGACACAAAGAUUGACUUUUGNCCAAGAAAGUGAGAUGGUCUUGGAUGAAAAGGAAAGAACGAAGAACAGAGAAAUCUAAUAAGGAAUGUUGUAAAUUAUUAAGAAAAUUGCACAAAUGGAAGGAAAAAAAGAAUAAUUAGUUACCUGAAGGGUUGCAAAGCAGAAGAGGG
rnacentral:misc_RNA from 1 species